rnacentral:pre_miRNA from 1 species
AAUGUAUGACGCUGUUGACUUUUUAUCCAACGUUUGACCAUUCGUUUUAUUUAAAAAAAUUAUAUAAUUAUUAUUUAUUUUAUGGUGACUUGAUGCAUCAUCAAAUGUUCUUUAAGUAUGACAUAAAUUUUUUUAUAUUUACAUAAAAAUUUUGAAUAAAACGAAUGGUCAAACGUUGGUCAAAAAGUCAACGGCGUCAUACAUU